UCUCCUGCUUUGAAUGUGUAUGCGUGUGUCUGUAUAUAUGGAUGUGUGUGUCUGCAAGUGCGUACGAGUGAGUCAGCGACCACAACUCCGGAAGUUGCAGACAGCACUGCAGCAGGGUUCCUGUUAAUUGCUCCCCCUUGUGACCUCGCUGCACCUAAGCUGACGCACAUCGGGUCCCGCCUCCAGCGCCAGAGAGCAGGACAGGCCCGUCAGACAUGGACACCAAGUGUUGUCAAGCCUCCCAUAUCAGAAUCCGCACCGGAAUGCAUUUACCAACAUUUGCCCUUGUAACAUGUCUUCUGUGUUAGCAUGUUUCUGCUUUCAUGUGUGCAACGAUACCGGAAAUAGAGGCGGAAAUGACGUCACGAUGGUCGUCAAAUGUGUACGUCAACAAAACGCGAGACAUUCUGCAUAGAUCGCGAGACACGGAUUUCGCCAGUGAUCCACUCGACGCCGGCAAACUUCCUGGUGCCGCCAUCACAGCCAGACACACUUCCGGUGCACGCAACGGCCGGUGACGUGAUGCUUUUCUUUCUUUUCUUUCUCUCUCUCCCUUUAUCCCCUUUUCCUAGUCAUACAGCGUGCACACACACACACACACAAACGCAUGUAUAUACUCAUGUUCUUUAAUCUUUCACUAUUAUGAAAAGAAAAACAACACACACACACACAAACAAACGCGUGUGUGCAUACGGGUAUACAUUACCCGUGACAGAUUUCAUCUUUCUCAACUGUAAACUGUACAUCAGAAGAUCAAUGGUGUCGGAAGAAGACAUAUAGGAUGACAUAGAGAGAGGUUAGAGAGAGAGAAGGAAGCUCAGACAGGAAGAGUGGGAUGGCGGCGGGAGGUGCUGGGGUGGAGGAUCACACCCGGUACCGUGCGCAGAUACACGCAAGGACAUUACAAAUGCCACCAUUGAUCUCCUUGACAAGUACUGUACAUUAUCCCGAGGACCAAAGGCGUUAGAAGAAAAAUUUAUCAGACGAUCGAAUGCCAUUUUCUUUUUCCUUAACUUGCAGGUUUGACAUAACUGAUGACACAUUUCAGCCACCAGUUAUAGAUCUUUGGAGGGCGGGGUUCUAGCACGGUAACCAGAUGACUUUUUUAAAGUUCCUGCAAAAUACUACGUUCCCGUGGCAAUGGGCGUUAUUUAUCGAUGUCCCUACCACGUCUGCGACCUUGACAUGAAAGAGAGGGUGGGUAGAAGGAGGAGGAAGGCUCUCAGAUCAGUGGCAAUGCUUGAUUCUCCCUGAUCAUCCCCCACCCCAGUCCCCCACACAUCGUCGCACUGGAGAAGUUGUGUAACUUUUGAAGAAGGGGAAAUGCCCGGUUACCUCAUCUCCUCCUCAAACACACACACACACGACUCUUCCUCAAAUGUGGGCGCCCCGAAAGAGCAGCCCUUGACAAACUACUGACUUUCUUAUCUGGCCUCGUAUUCUUCAAGGUGUGGCUGGCUUCCUUGCUGCCCUGAGGCAAGGAGGACUAUCGGCUUCUUGACAUUGUAUUGUCAGCACAGUAACGGAAGGAUCCCGCCUUACCCCCUCACCCUUGGCAGUAUGGACAUAGAACAUAGAUGCUGAGAAGAUGGCCGGACAGGUGAAGCACCACUUUGAUAGCCAUGCGGCACAGCGAGUUCCACUGACCGACAUGGUUGUCAGAAAUGGCUACCUGACUCCAUAAAAGGGUUGGGAAAAUGGUAAAACAACGGGGCAGAGAGGAAAUAUGCACCACCCUCACACACACACACACA